AGAUUGAACGCUGGCGGCGUGCCUAACACAUGCAAGUCGAGCGGUAACAGGUGUAGCAAUACAUGCUGACGAGCGGCGAACGGGUGAGUAAUGCUUUGGAAUCUUCCCAGUAGUGGGGAAUAACCAGUCGAAAGAUUGGCUAAUACCGCAUACGUCUGUAAAGGGAAAGCGGGGGCUCGUAAGACCUCGCGCUAUUGGAUGAGCCAAAGUCGGAUUAGCUAGUUGGUGGGGUAACGGCCUACCAAGGCGACAAUCCGUAGCUGGUCUGAGAGGACGACCAGCCACACCGGAACUGAGACACGGUCCGGACUCCUACGGGAGGCAGCAGUGGGGAAUAUUGGACAAUGGGGGAAACCCUGAUCCAGCGACGCCGCGUGUGUGAAGAAGGCCUGCGGGUUGUAAAGCACUUUUAGUGGGGACAAAAGCUACGGAUUAAUACUCUGUGGUCUUGAUUUAACCCAAAGAAAAGCACCGGCUAACUCUGCGCCAGCAGCCGC
rnacentral:rRNA from 1 species